CGUGACUGACUGGAGACUUCCACAAAUGAAACCACAACCUCAUCAUGUCACCGCGAGAGCGCUAUCUGUUAAGAUUAGACUUAAAUGUUAGGGUCUCGCUGUUCUCCCCUGUUACUCUCAGUCCUGACCUUGGAAUCCGGAGGCAAUUCUUCACAUUCAGAGAAAAGCGAGCGUGGGGCUCCGUGGUUAUAGAGUCUGUGUGUGUGUGCGUGUGCCAUCGUGAGGACGAGGUUAUUUUAUGGCUUGUGUGUGUGUGUGUGUGUGUGUGUGUGUGUGUGUGUGUGUGUGUGUGCGCGCGCGCGUGCGUGCGAGCGAGAGAUGUGUGGGGUAUCCAAAUAUAGCCAGACUCAGAGAAUGAUGUUCAUUAUUUUAUGAGACAAGGAAAGGAGGAAGCUUUGGUGACUACAGACCUAGUACACGCGGAUCUUGAGGAACUUGUGGGGGUUCCCUGUGUGAGAAGAGCGCGGAUUGGUCGAAUGACGAGUUUUCGUACGCUCCAAUGAAAUCCUUCACUGCUCUCUAUUUACUGUGAGCUGGAGCGCAGUAAUUCCCCUCCUUCAACAGAUCUAUCGACUGACAGGAGUAGAUCAGCUUUUUGCUUAACCACAUCACGAACAUGAGAAUACGUACAGUAUGGCCAUAGGAAGGGCAUCGGAGCGCGGAUGAAACGACGGCGCGCGGGCUCGGAGGGGAAGGGAGUCGUACGCCGGAGCGGAUUCUGUGCAUUUCUGCGCGAAUGUGUAGAACUGGAGUCUACUGCACACGGUCCGGCCAUUGGCUACAACAACAUGGACUGUUAGUAAUUACGGACCAAGCCUGCAACUCAGAUGUCACAAUCAAAGCGUAUGGAAAAGUCUUUCACGAAUCUUUUUGCGGUCUGGGCUUGCUGUUCUCAACUAUCAAUGGGAAGCCCUUACCCCAAAAAGCAUUUGCGGAGGACACACACAGCGAAUAGAAGAAAGCUGUCUCUUACUUCUGCUCCUCUUGGACUAUCAUCAUACUCAUCGCCGGAAUGGCAAACGUUGCAAUUCAGACGAGUGCUUUUUGUGUUUGUUUGUGUUUUUUGUUUUUGUUUUUUUACUGGAAAAAAAGAUCCACAGUUUUUACUAUUUUCUCUCUCUCUCUCUCUCUCUCUCUCUCUCUCUCUCUCUCUCUCUCUCUCUCUCUCUCUCUCUCUCUUUUUUUGAGUCUGGCACACCCUUUCAGUAUCAAGUGGCUCCAACCGCGCCUUAUCAAUUUAACAUGUGAUUUAAUUCUGAAUUUUAACACUAAGGGUCGGGGACUGCAUGCUUGCCACGACUAAAAUAAACCAUGCGAUGCUGAACGGUUUUAGCGUGUGAAUGAACAACUGAAUUAAAGCGCAAAUGCAAUAAAAAGAAUAUUACAUCUGGAUCGUGACAUCUUAUUUGGAGUUUUGCAGAGACGCAGCUGACGCGCGCGCAGGUGCUGUUGCGUACGGCUCGCGGAGCAUCGAUUGUGUUUUGGAGAGUUAGCGUACAAUUUCCAAACACGAUUCGUGCCACUCCAACGUGUUUAGAUGGAAAUACAGUCGCAGCGGCCGACGUGUGGACGGAGAGAUGCUUGGCUGGCUCCUCGUUAAAUGAAACCGACUACGCUCACGUUAGUUGCUCACUAUAGGAACACGUCAAAACAUCACAUUGUUAGACUAGUAGUGUCACGUGCCCUCACUUGUGCUCGAAAUGAUGGAGCCCGAGUUAUGCUGUCCAGAUACAACAUAUGGCUUGUUCACACUUACCUAAACGCAUCGUGCACAGCACAAUUAUUCCCGAAGUUGUAAAUAAAGCAAUGCUUAUUGCAAGAAAACACCGCUUACUGCAGAGUUCAGCGUGUUCCCUGGAGCUCCUUUGUAAUUAAUAGAAAAUUUACUAGCAAUCUCUGACUUUUUCUAGACUCGUUUUUUGUCUGUGUAGACAGAUUAAUUGCACACAAGAUAAAGUGAACUGAGGGAGUCUUCAUAAUCCACCCAGACUUUCUAACAUUAGAUUUAUCCACACUUCAUCAAGUAGCCUGGAAAACACGCUCUCUGUUGUGACUUUCAUGACAAAAAUCUAACCGAAUCAUUUAGUUAUUAAAUAUACAGGUCCAGUAGUGCUGCAAGCAAUAUCUGUUUACCGUGAGAUAGUGUACCAUAAAGACAUAAUAUCAUAAGGUUUUAGGGCGAGUGUUAUUCUGCUGCGUGUGUUUUGAGAUCUGUCAUCACGUGUUUUGCAAAUAGUGGAUAAUAUGUGCUUGUUGGAGAGCUAUGGCAGUUUAGUGAAGAUGAAACACACCGGCUCUCUGUGAUUUAUCUGUGCGAAUGCCGCCCAGUAAUCGUUCAAUGGCCUGGGGUUUCAAAGUUAUGUGUUUUGAAAAAAUGUGAAGAGAAUUAUUUGACAUGCGCAAAUGCACGAGUCGCUUUCCUUAAUUUUCACAAAAAUGCAUUUCCAGAAUACUCUGCGACUGAACCGAAUCAUCAGCGUUCAGGCCUUUUCCGUUUCGUGCUCCGGUCGCGUUCCCUAAUCGAGCAGAAGUAACACACUAAAGUGAAUCGCUUUGUCUUGUGAAGUAAGUACUUUUAAAUAAAACUAAUGUAUAACGACAAUGCGUGUUAAUUUGUGUGCAGGUUAUUCCAGCCCCAGGGUCUGAGCUAAAACAGAGAGAAGCAGACAGACACACACACACACACUCAGAGAGAGGAAUCCGAGUCAACAGAUCAGGACAGCCCAUGCCUAAAUAACAGAUGCCAUGCACGUGAAUAAUGGCAUUUGUGUGUGUGUGUGUGUGUGUGUGUUUUCUCGAAUCCUUCUUAUCAUGACAUUGAUUUUAUAGUUACUGGAUACGUAACAUUUAAGGAGCAUCCUUUCUUUGUCUUGCUUUCGUGAUUGCAACCAGAUUGCGUAUUUAGUGUACGGUGUUACAGAUCCUUAGGCUUCAGGAAUUGUUCGUUUUUAUGUUUUAUAACUAACGCCUAACACGAGGCCCACCCUCCGUCUUCUGACUCCACGUUCAAGAGGUGAUGCGCUCCUCUGAGCCACGUGUGCAAGCAGCGGAUUGUUAUUUUGUACUAAUUCAUUAAUACGAAAAUAAACGUUUCCAACGACGCUUUGAUUCUCACUCACCUUUGCAGUGGGGUCAAAUAUCUAGACGAUAGACUGAUUGGUUUGUUUUAGUGAACGCACUACGCAUUCAAAGCCCGGACGAUCCUGAUGUUGUGAUGUCCUGAGCUUUUAAACUCAUUUCUGCUGGCAGCUGACAGUAGUCACUAACAAUCACUACAAAUGACUGACUUUUUCAGAGGAUUUUCUGAAAGAAUUCAUCAUUUUCAAUACGUCACAGUUGUCUAUGCAUAGGACUACGCCUUGCUGUUUUUAGAUUUGUAAAUAUCUCAUUUAAAGUAAAUUACUAAUCAUUUAAGAAGCAAUAUUAUCAUAUAUAUAUAUAUGAAUUAAAUACGAUUUCUAUAGAAAGCCCCGAUAAAGCACUUCACACGUGUAUAAACUCAGUCUUUUGCUCUACGUUAUUAAAGAAAGGCCCAAAGCCCGCAAACGUAUUUGAUUUUAAUAUCAUCUGAAUCAUUUUCUGGGUGAAUUAAUGCCUUUAUGAUUUCCUCGACUUGUUUCCACGUGCUGUUUUUCAAUUAAACGUUGAACACUUUCAAUUAAAACUUUUUUUUUUUUUAAACGUAAACAUGUAUAACACAGAAGAACAUGCUAUACUGACAGUUUAUUUUCAUAUAUUCAUGUCUCUUUUUUUUUUUCAAUUUGUAAUUUUCCUCUCAAGCUGUGUUUGCGUUAAGCAUUUCAGCCUGUGCGCGAAGCAAGGUGAAGCGCUUGCUCUGAAAGACUGCUCCUUUAGGUUGACUUCACCCAGCCUUCAGCCUCAUCUCCUUCAGACACUAAGAUCGUGCAUGUCUUAACACGCUGUUUAAAUGUGCAGGUUCAUCACUCAAAGCAGGUCGCGCCGUGGAUGUCACUGAUCUGCAGCAAAGCAUGUUAUCGGUCUAUAUGUCAUUACAGGAUUUUUGAACAAUAAUACUAAUUAAAAGUAUGCAAUACUUUAUCUUUCUUUCAAGUAAAAAGUUUUGUUAAAAUGUUUUCAACAUCCACGUCAUUCAACAUAACAUAUAAAAGAAAAAGAUUUGUCCUUGUUGUCUCUAGUGUAGUGUAUCAAAUCACUUUAUGAUUUUUUUCCUCACUCUUUGUCUUAAAGUGCUUCGGUGACGUUCAGAUUAUGCUGGAUUUCUCCGAAAAGAUGUGGGUUCUCAAAAUAAAAUCAUUAUGUGCGUAUUUUUCAUUUAAUUUCAGCGCACAUGCUUGAUACACAUUUCAUCUUAGUUGUUGCUGAUGUUGUUUUUGACUCACUACGUCAUUCUAAUUUAAAAUAUUGCAAACUCACAUACAGCGAAAAACAAAUAUAAUUUUAAAAGAUGCACUUUUCAGGAUUAAACUAUUGUGAAUACUAAUUCAGGAAUGCAUCUGCCAGUGAAUGAUACAAAAAUAAUACUUAUGGCUGAGAUGUACACAGAACUGAUUGCAUUUUCUUUUCUUUUUUUCCCUCAUGGGCCCCCUCAGAGAUCUCCUUAUAUAUUGUGAGAAAUAGAAUGUGUCUUUAUUUUGAUUUUACCUUAGACAUUUGUUUUUCUUUUUACAUGUUUCAGGUCACUUUGAAAUAUACCUGUUGUUCGGUAAACCUCAAACACCUCCCAAAUCUGACCUAUAUAGACCGGACAAGGAUAAUUACGGAAGAAUAUUAUACUCUACUGCAAAUAAUCAUUUCUCAUUUGCUCAAUUAAACACCGGGAUUGCGGUUUCAAUCCCAAAUGAGAGCAAAGGGGGAGAUCUCCGUAUCGACGCACACCAGUCGUUUCUGUCUGCCAUUUUGUAGAUUUCACUUUUUGACAUUUUAUACAUUAUGUAUUUUCAGAGCUACUGAAUGCACAAAUAAUGCCGAACAUUGAUUGCCUAUAAUCUGAUAAUAAAGUGAUUUCUUUACGUCUUGAUAGUGACUUACAUUUACAGAUUUUCUUCAAGCAUUUAAAAUGAUCUAGAAUCAUGAAAAAACUUAACCUAAAAACCUCCCUUUCUACUUUAUUGUUCGAAGUCAAAGCUAUUUCUACAUAUAACUCGUGGACUGUUUAUAAAUCACUGCUCCUAAAAUCUAUUAAAUAAUCCUAAAAUUGAUUUAGUUUGAAAUAAUUGCUCAUGCUACCUGCCAGAUCUGUUAACAACAACGUUCGGUAAUUGUAAGUCAUUUUAUUUGAAUGAUUUUCUUUAUUUGUUUGUAUUAGUGACGCGCCACAUUCAGUGAUUCCUCGUGAAUUCAGCUGCAUUAAAACCUGCAGCUUUAUGCAGCCAACAGUAUUGUGUUACUGAAAACAGUUUAUUUUUAUGACUCUCGAUUUAAAGAUUUUUAACGUGAUCCUUUUGUGCUUAGUUAUUAUCCCAAAUGUUUAAAAUUGUUUACACUUAUGGUAGAUCUGUUGAUAUUAUGUCAUAUCACGCCCCCUCAAUAACUGCUGCGAAGCCAACAAAUCUACGAGCUUGGAAAGAAUUUGACAGAUUGAACACACACACACACACACACACACACACACACACACACACACUGAUCGAUCACUUCUUUACCUGUUACCUAAAAUGUCAUAUCCAUACUGUCCAAAUCAUAUAAUCUGAAAACAUGGAACUGUUUCCAGCAUAUUGCUUAUACAGUUGUUAAUCAUUUUGUUUAUGCCGUGUAUCUUUUACUGUUGUUUAUACUUUUAUUGUCUGUGCAUCUAAAUUAAACUCUACAUUAAGUCACACCUGCGUGCUUUUUUGUCUGACAUCCAAUCAAAUAUUGAGCUAGGAUUGCCAAUACAAACCAAAAUGUUUGUUAAAAGCCAGACACGUGUGUGUGUGUGUGUGUGUUAUUUUAAUUCUGACUGUGGCAUAUUAAAAAUGAAAGCUCAACCAGGACACUCGAUGCAGGCAUUUAUAUAUAAUAUGUAAAACAAGUUUUCCUGCAGGUUACGCAGGCAAUCAGACGCAUUAAACAUUUUUUGUACCUUCGCAUAAACGCUGUCAUUCACAUCAUUUGCAUCAACAGCUUGUCUUUAAUAAAUAUAACAGAAGCUUAUA